AUGCAAUAAAAUUGUGAUGACUUAUUUAGUGUAAAUAUUUAAACACUAAAAAGACAUAUGUAUUGCUUAUGUUACUGGUAUAUGCGCUCUAACAUAUUCAGUCGGUAUUGUGUAUGGUACAUAUAUACAUACAAAACAAGAGCAACUUGUUGUUGAAAAUACUGGCAGGAAUUAUGUGUAACAGGUUUUAAAAGUAAAGAUAAUUUUACACAUUCAACUAUCUAUUAAAACAGAAACAAAGAAAAUACCAAAGUAGGACAAAACAUACGCGCGAAAUCAUAGGACGAUGAGACAGACACACACGCCUUGCUGAAUGAAACUGAAAGCAGUAGUUCUACCAGUGAGAAUGUAUCAACGAAACAAUGCUUGCCGUGUGAUCCUAGGACAGCACUUCAUCGAUACAUAUUUCUUGAAUUGAUAUGUAUUAUUGGGGUAGGGGAUUAUUUCUGCGUGGAUACUCCAGCUGCGCUUCAAAAUCAUUUUCUGAAGGAUCUGAAUAUAUCAGAGACAAAAUUCAUGACAUUUUAUUCAAACAUACAAUGGGCCAGUAUAGUAAUCGUGUAUAUUUGGUGUCUUUUUGAUCGACAAAAUAUAUGGAAA
rnacentral:lncRNA from 1 species